CACUCCGGGGUCCGGAGCGCUCUAGUGUCAUAAGUGGCUAUUGCAAUCCGGAGUCCGGAGUCCUCUAGCGUCAAAAGUGGCUAUUGCACUCCGGAAAUUUAUGGCGACGAAUGGCAAAUAACGACUGAUUCUGUGUUUAACAUAAAUACCAUUCAGCCUGAGUUCAGAGUCUGUCUUUCAUUCAAGCUUCAAUUAUAGUGUGAAAGAAGAGGGAGUUAUGCACUGAUCUGUGGUUUCACCUUUGUUACAAUAUCGUACAACAGGUCAACAGCAUGUGAUGAGUUUUUGAGAUUUCCCCAAAUGAAAAACAAACCUGAUGGCUUCAAGAAAUUAGUGUUUGACAUUUUGAAAAAAAAUGUAUCAUGUUUGAAAAGUGAGAUUUUACUUAUUUCAUCUAUAAAAGUUUUAAGGUUUGCAGGAUUAGGGGUUUUCGCUAUUUCUUUACGUUUACGACCUGAUCAUGACUUUAUAUCACAUAAGAAGAAUGUUCCUCGAUAUCAUUUAAUAAUGAAAGAAGUUGAGUGUGUAUAAACAAAAACAAACCAUUCGUCAUCGUCGAGGGGAGAUAGAUGUUACAAAAUAGGAAAAUACUGGUAGUCAAAAAGAGGAGUGGUUAACUUUGUUUAUGAUUAUCUCCGCGGCGUUGGAACCUAAAGCAACCCAUCAUCAAAGGACAAGGCGCUUCCAUAUUCCGCUCUUAAAGGAUCUUUGAUUGACGCCGCACCAUGUGCCAAUUCUUUCCCCUCUUAAAUCAAUUACUUUUUCAUUGUCAGUUCAUUCAUGUGAUGACAAAGCACCGAGUGAAACUGAACACGAAAAUACCAAGUAUUUUUUCGCACUCACAAUUCAGUUAAAAUGUCUUUUGAUAUUCUCACUAUAAUAAAGUAAACUGCAAUUGCA
rnacentral:lncRNA from 1 species